GAUGAACGCUGGCGGCGUGCUUAACACAUGCAAGUCGAACGGAAAGGCUCCUGCUUGCAGGGGUACUCGAGUGGCGAACGGGUGAGUAACACGUGGGUGAUCUGCCCUGCACUUCGGGAUAAGCCUGGGAAACUGGGUCUAAUACCGGAUAGGACGAUGGUUUGGAUGCCAUUGUGGAAAGUUUUUCGGUGUGGGAUGAGCUCGCGGCCUAUCAGCUUGUUGGUGGGGUAAUGGCCUACCAAGGCGUCGACGGGUAGCCGGCCUGAGAGGGUGUACGGCCACAUUGGGACUGAGAUACGGUCCAGACUCCUACGGGAGGCAGCAGUGGGGAAUAUUGCACAAUGGGCGCAAGCCUGAUGCAGCGACGCCGCGUGGGGGAUGACGGCCUUCGGGUUGUAAACUCCUUUCGCUAGGGACGAGGCGCAAGUGACGGUACCUGGAGAAGAAGCACCGGCUAACUACGUG
rnacentral:rRNA from 1 species